UACGUAGGGGGCGAGCGUUGUCCGGAUUUAUUGGGCGUAAAGAGCGUGUAGGCGGUUCGGUAAGUCUGUCGUGAAAUCCUGAGGCUCAACCUCGGGCGUGCGAUGGAUACUGCCGGGCUAGAGGAUGGUAGAGGCAAGUGGAAUUCCCGGUGUAGCGGUGAAAUGCGCGGAUAUCGGGAGGAACACCAGUAGCGAAGGCGGCUCGCUGGGCCAUUCCUGACGCUGAGACGCGAAAGCUAGGGGAGCGAACAGG
rnacentral:rRNA from 1 species